rfam:Acetonema longum DSM 6540 Contig00071, whole genome shotgun sequence.
CUUUAUAAUUUUUCAAGGCUGUAGACAGUAGGUGCGAAGGCAUAAAGGACCUUUGGGUCCGCCCACCGAGGCCGGAGAUAAAAGUGGCUUAUUGACAUUUGCUUUUGUCAUAAACGACCUCCGGACUUUGCCGUGAGGUCGUUUUUGUUUUCGCAA